rnacentral:rRNA from 1 species
AUUGUGUCAGCAGUCGCGCGGUAAUACAGAGACCUCAAGCGUUAUCCGGAAUCAUUGGGCGUAAAGCGUACCGAUAGGUGGUUUACAAAGUCAGAAGUGAAAUCUCUCAGCUUAACUGGGUGAAUGUCUUUUGAAACUUGUAAACUAGAGGGGCAAAGAGGAAGCUGGAACAAACGGUGUAGUAGUGAAAUGCGUUGAUAUCGUUUGGAACACCAAUAGCGUAGGCAGGCUUCUGGGUGCCACCUGACACUGCUAGGACGAAAGCGUGGGGAGCGAUAAGGAUUAGAUACCCUUGUAGUCCACGCUGUAAACGAUGAUGAUUAGGUGCUAGGGAGUAUCGACCCUUCUUAGUACCAUAGCUAACGCGUUAAAUCAUCCGCCUGGGGAGUACGGCCGCAAGGCUAAAACUCAAAGGAAUUGACGGGGACCUGCGCAAGCGGUGGAGCAUGUGGUUUAAUUCGACGGUAAGCGAGGAACCUUACCAAGGCUUGACAUGUAGCUGCAUCCCUCAGAAAUGAGGGCGCCUUCGAGGGUGCUACACAGGUGCUGCACGGUUGUCGUCAGCUCGUGCCGUGAGGUGUUCACUUAAGUGUGAAAACGAGCGCAACCCCUACGGUGAGUUACAAGUGUCUCACAGAACUGCCCGCGUUUAAGCGGGGAGGAAGGUGGGGGAUGACGUCAAAUCAGCGUGGCUCUUACGCCUUGGGCGACACACGUGCUACAAUGGGCAGAAUAAAGGGACGCCAAACCGCAAGGUGGAGCAAAUCCCAUCAAUACUGCCCCCAGUUCGGAUCGAGGGCUGCAACUCGCCCUCGUGAAGCCGGAAUCGCUAGUACCGUGAUCAGCCUCGUCACGGUGAAUACGUUCUCAGUUUGCACACACCGCCCGUCAAAUCCCGAAAAGGCCGCACGAUUGGCCCUUCCCCACAGAUUGCGCACCUGAAUGGCCAAGGAGCCGCGAUCGGAAUUUCUCUCAAGACACCUGUUGCGGAGUUCACCGCAUUGUGGGACUUCUGCAUCGUCUGUAGCGCUGGAUAACGGCCGAAUCGUGCGGAACAACG